rnacentral:rRNA from 1 species
AGAGUUUGAUCCUGGCUCAGGUUGAACGCUGGCGGCAUGCCUUACACAUGCAAGUCGAACGGCAGCACGGGAGCAGUCCUGGUGGCGAGUGGCGAACGGGUGAGUAAAGUAUCGGAACGUGCCCAGUCGUGGGGGAUAACGUAGCGAAAGUUACGCUAAUACCGCAUACGAUCUAUGGAUGAAAGCGGGGGAUCGAAAGACCUCGCGCGAUUGGAGCGGCCGAUAUCAGAUUAGGUAGUUGGUGGGGUAAAGGCUCACCAAGCCGACGAUCUGUAGCUGGUCUGAGAGGACGACCAGCCACACUGGGACUGAGACACGGCCCAGACUCCUACGGGAGGCAGCAGUGGGGAAUUUUGGACAAUGGGCGCAAGCCUGAUCCAGCCAUGCCGCGUGCAGGAUGAAGGCCUUCGGGUUGUAAACUGCUUUUGUACGGAACGAAAAGGUUUGGCCUAAUAAGCUGAGCUCAUGACGGUACCGUAAGAAUAAGCACCGGCUAACUACGUGCCAGCAGCCGCGGUAAUACGUAGGGUGCGAGCGUUAAUCGGAAUUACUGGGCGUAAAGCGUGCGCAGGCGGUUAUGUAAGACAGAUGUGAAAUCCCCGGGCUCAACCUGGGACCUGCAUUUGUGACUGCAUAGCUAGAGUACGGUAGAGGGGGAUGGAAUUCCGCGUGUAGCGGUGAAAUGCGUAGA